GCCUGACUGGCUCAGUCAGUAGAGCAUGUGACUCUUGAUCUCGGGGUUGUGAGUUUGAGCCCCACAUUAGGUA
rnacentral:tRNA from 1 species